GCUUGCUUUGGCAGCUAAUACUAAAAUUGGAAUGAUAUAGAGAAGAUUAGCAUGGCCCCUGUGCAAGGAUGACAUGCAAAUUUGUGAAGCGUUCCAUAUAAAA